AUACUCUGGUUUCUCUUCACAUCACAUACAUCUCUGACCUUUUACUAAAGAUUUUCAUGGAGGGGAACAACUCUGAGUUUGUAACUAAUGUUUGAGGCCUUCCUUUGGCAGGGC
rnacentral:snRNA from 1 species